rnacentral:lncRNA from 1 species
GGCCUCAUGGAACUGUGAGUCCAUUAAACCUCUUUUUCUUUAUAAAUUACCCAGUCUCGGAUGUGUCUUUAUCAGCAGCAUGAAAAGGGGCUAAAUACAGUCUUUAUCUCUUGGCAUGCUCGCAGCCAGGGUGCCCAGCCAUCCUCAUCACCAGCUUACAGACUGAGGCCACAGAGCCCUGGCAGAGUCUAAGCCACCUGCCCAGUGCCCUGCAGGAGAAGCCGAGUUUCUGAGCCAGUGCUCUUCAUGGCUCUCCUGUGACAUCCACCCUCAAGCUCGGGGCCCUACAUGCCGCUUCUCUGGAGGUGCUCAGGGGUGCCCACAGCAGGAGAGGAGGAAGCUGGGGGCAAGACCUGGGCAUCCCUCUUUGCUCCCACCAGGGUCGCUCCACUUUGAUCUGUUUAUAGCCUGGAUUUAAGCAUAAACAUCACGUGACUGGGCGACAGAGUGAGACUCCAUCCCCCUAAAACACAAACAAAACCAAUUCUCCCCAAAAUAUGAAAGCAAUGUAUGCUGAAAAAAAUGUAUAAAGAAGAAAAUUAAAGAAAAAAAAAUCCAAAAUAAUUUUGAUACCUUGGUGAAUUUCUUUCUAAUUAUUUUUCUCUGUUGUUUGUUUGGUUUUAAUGUGGGUGUGAUUACAUAGUAUAUUUUUAUCUAAGUUUUUCACUUAACAUUAAAAUAGGUGCAUUUUCAUGCCGUUAUGAAAUAUUUGUACACAUCAGCUUAUGACUGCAUAAUGGUCCAUUCUGUUAUAAUUUAACUAAACAUUCCCUUUUUGUU